GCUAUAGGAUGGGCCCGCGGCGCAUUAGCUAGUUGGUGAGGUAACGGCUCACCAAGGCAACGAUGCGUAGCCGACCUGAGAGGGUGAUCGGCCACACUGGGACUGAGACACGGCCCAGACUCCUACGGGAGGCAGCAGUAGGGAAUCUUCCACAAUGGGCGAAAGCCUGAUGGAGCAACGCCGCGUGAGUGAAGAAGGAUUUCGGUUCGUAAAACUCUGUUGUAAGGGAAGAACAAGUACUAUUGACGGUACCUUAUUAGAAAGCCACGGCUAACUACGUGCCAGCAGCCGCGGUAAUACGUAGGUGGCAAGCGUUGUCCGGAAUUAUUGGGCGUAAAGCGCGCGCAGGUGGUUUCUUAAGUCUGAUGUGAAAGCCCACGGCUCAACCGUGGAGGGUCAUUGGAAACUGGGGAACUUGAGUGCAGAAGAGGAUAGUGGAAUUCAUGUAGCGGUGAAAUGCGUAGAGAU
rnacentral:rRNA from 1 species